rnacentral:rRNA from 1 species
UACGUAGGGGGCAAGCGUUGUCCGGAUUUAUUGGGCGUAAAGAGCGUGUAGGCGGCCAGACAGGUCCGUUGUGAAAACUCGAGGCUCAACCUCGAGACGUCGAUGGAAACCGUCUGGCUAGAGUCCGGAAGAGGAGAGUGGAAUUCCUGGUGUAGCGGUGAAAUGCGCAGAUAUCAGGAAGAACACCUAUGGCGAAGGCAGCUCUCUGGGACGGUACUGACGCUGAGACGAGAAAGCGUGGGGAGAGAACCGG